GAUGAACGCUGGCGGCGUGCCUAAUACAUGCAAGUCGAGCGAACGGACGAGAAGCUUGCUUCUCUGAUGUUAGCGGCGGACGGGUGAGUCACACGUGGAUAACCUACCUAUAAGACUGGGAUAACUUCGGGAAACCGUAGCUAAUACCGGAUAAUAUUUUGAACCGCAUGGUUCAAAAGUGAAAGACGGUCUUGCUGUCACUUAUAGAUGGAUCCGGGCUGCAUUAGCUAGUUGGUAAGGUAACGGCUUACCAAGGCAACGAUGCAUAGCCGACCUGAGAGGGUGAUCGGCCACACUGGAACUGAGACACGGUCCAGACUCCUACGGGAGGCAGCAGUAGGGAAUCUUCCGCAAUGGGCGAAAGCCUGACGGAGCAACGCCGCGUGAGUGAUGAAGGUCUUCGGAUCGUAAAACUCUGUUAUUAGGGAAGAACAUAUGUGUAAGUAACUGUGCACAUCUUGACGGUACCUAAUCAGAAAGCCACGGCUAACUACGUG
rnacentral:rRNA from 1 species